rnacentral:rRNA from 1 species
AUUGAACGCUGGCGGCAUGCCUAACACAUGCAAGUCGAACGGCAGCACGGGGCUUUGCACCGGGUCGCGAGUGGCGAACGGGUGAGUAACACAUCAGUACACGUCCUGUAGUGGGGGAAAGCCCGGAGAAAGCCGGAUUUAUACCCCAUACGAUGCACGGGCGACAGGGGGGGGCUUGGAGGCCUCGCGCUGUUGGGGUGGGAGGUGGGGGUUUAGAUAGUUUGGGGGGUAAAGGCCUACAAAGGCGACGAUGCGUGUCGGGUGUGAGAGGAGGAUCAGGCACACUGGAACUGAGACACGGCCCAGACUCCUACGGGAGGCAGCAGUGUGGAAUUUUGGACAAUGGGCGAAAGCCUGAUCCAGCGAUGCCGCGUGUGUGAAGAAGGCCUUCGGGUUGUAAAGCACUUUUUCCCGGUAAGAAACGCUUUCGCCUAAUACGGUGCGGGGAUGACGGUACCGGAAGAAUAAGCACCGGCUAACUACGUG